rnacentral:rRNA from 1 species
UACGUAGGGGGCAAGCGUUGUCCGGAUUUAUUGGGCGUAAAGAGCGUGUAGGCGGUUUGGUAGGUCCGCUGUGAAAACUCGAGGCUCAACCUCGAGACGCCGGUGGAAACCAUCAGGCUAGAGUCCGGAAGAGGAGAGUGGAAUUCCCGGUGUAGCGGUGAAAUGCGUAGAUAUCUGGAGGAACACCGGUGGCGAAGGCGGCAUCCUGGACCGGCAUUGACGCUGAGGAGCGAAAGCCAGGGGAGCAAACGGG